rnacentral:rRNA from 1 species
GAUGAACGCUGGCGGCGUGCCUAAUACAUGCAAGUCGAGCGAACGGACGAGAAGCUUGCUUCUCUGAUGUUAGCGGCGGACGGGUGAGUAACACGUGGAUAACCUACCUAUAAGACUGGGAUAACUUCGGGAAACCGUAGCUAAUACCGGAUAAUAUUUUGAACCGCAUGGUUCAAAAGUGAAAGACGGUCUUGCUGUCACUUAUAGAUGGAUCCGCGCUGCAUUAGCUAGUUGGUAAGGUAACGGCUUACCAAGGCAACGAUGCAUAGCCGACCUGAGAGGGUGAUCGGCCACACUGGAACUGAGACACGGUCAGACUCCUACGGGAGGCAGCAGUAGGGAAUCUUCCGCAAUGGGCGAAAGCCUGACGGAGCAACGCCGCGUGAGUGAUGAAGGUCUUCGGAUCGUAAAACUCUGUUAUUAGGGAAGAACAUAUGUGUAAGUAACUGUGCACAUCUUGACGGUACCUAAUCAGAAAGCCACGGCUAACUACGUG